CCUUACCAAGGCUUGACAUACACCAGAACGCCCUAGAAAUAGGGAACUCUUUGGACACUGGUGAACAGGUGGUGCAUGGUUGUCGUCAGCUCGUGUCGUGAGAUGUUGGGUUAAGUCCCGCAACGAGCGCAACCCUCGUUCUAUGUUGCCAGCACGUAAUGGUGGGAACUCAUGGGAUACUGCCGGGGUCAACUCGGAGGAAGGUGGGGAUGACGUCAAAUCAUCAUGCCCCUUAUGUCUUGGGCUUCACGCAUGCUACAAUGGCCGGUACAAAGGGCUGCAAUACCGUGAGGUGGAGCGAAUCCCAAAAAGCCGGUCCCAGUUCGGAUUGAGGUCUGCAACUCGACCUCAUGAAGUCGGAGUCGCUAGUAAUCGCAGAUCAGCAACGCUGCGGUGAAUACGUUCCCGGGUCUUGUACACACCGCCCGUCAAGUCAUGAAAGUCGGUAACACCUGAAGCCGGUGGCCCAACCCUUGUGGAGGGAGCUGUCGAAGGUGGGAUCGGUAAUUAGGACUAAGUCGUAACAAGAGCAUCCAGGGG
rnacentral:rRNA from 1 species